GGGUCGUUAGCUCAGUCGGCAGAGCACCGGGCUUUUAACCCGUGCGUCCUGGGUUCGAUUCCCAGACGACCCACCA
rnacentral:tRNA from 1 species